rnacentral:lncRNA from 1 species
UUUACUUUAUUUUUUUAACAGAAAUUUUCUAAAUAUGAAGAACUUAAUGAAAAUCCAACAUCUUCCAGAUGGCUUCCUCAAACACAAAAAUUAAUCCAUUUCCCUAGGUGAAAGGCUUUGGUCUCCAAGGCUCAGCUCAGACCUAUCUGAUACAAAGCUCUUGUGUGAGAUGUACAGAAUGACUGCCCUUUGGGAGUGCUAUUUAUAAACUCAAAAGCGUCUGAACAGUACUCACAAAAAGGCUGCCAGUAUCAAGAAAAUUAAUGACAAUCUGACAUUGUUGGAGGAUGAAGAGAGAAGGGGCUUUGUGCUGAGAUUCAGGCAUGAAAUGUUUUUGCACUGCUUUUUCUUGGCCUCUCUGUGGAAGUCUGGAGUAUUGAUGGGAGCACCCUGCUCAUGGCAUUGUCAGCCUCAGCAAAUCAAUACAGGAAAAUGUAAACUUACAGCUGUCGAAACUGAAC